UGUUAUAGAUUAUAUGUUAGAGUAUGUUAGUGUUAUAGAGUAUGUUAGUGUUAUAGAGUAUGUUAUAGAUUAUAUGUUAGAGUAUGUUAGUGUUAUAGAGUAUGUUAUAGAUUAUAUGUUAGAGUAUGUUAGUGUUAUAGAGUGUGUUAUAGAGUAUAUGUUAGAGUAUGUUAGUGUUAUAGAGUGUGUUAUAGAUUAUAUGUUAGAGUAUGUUAGUGUUAUAGAGUAUGUUAUAGAUUAUAUGUUAGAGUAUGUUAGUGUUAUAGA
ensembl:lncRNA